UACAGGCUGCAUCUCAUCUGAAACAUUUGGAUGAGGGGGGAGACAGAGGAAGAGCCUGAAUGGUAGCUACACCCUGCGCCUGGAAGCGUAGAGAAAGAGAAAUAGAGAGGCACUGUUAAAAAAAGAAAAAAGAAAAAAAAAACAACAAAAAAGCUGGCAGUUAUUUUUCUUUUUUGGCAAUAACAAAGAGGUGGGAGAGAGAAAAUAGCACAUAUAAGAGGGGGACUUCUGCUUCAUUUCAUCCGAAAGACUCCAUCCCUGUGCCAUCAUCAGCAUGACCAUAAGCUCUAUAAGUAACAUCCGGCAAUAAUAACAACGGGUAUCAAUAGGAGGUUUCCAGCAACAGAUGCCCGCUAUUUCAUUUUGAUUGGAGAGAAAAAAAGACCUAAAAAAGAUCAACUGAAUGCCUGCGAGAAACUGGACUCUGAAAGCAUAAGGCAGAGCGAUCAAACAGAGAAAUCUACAUUUUGAUUGAUCCUUUUUUUUUUUUUUUAAAGCUUGAUGUGCGUGUCUCUGCGCGCACUCGAAACGAACCUGAGCCAAAAGCAAACUCCUCAGACUCCUCCCUCCUCCUCCUCCCUUCGGUUUCUCGCAUCCUCUCCCUCCUCCCCGGUGCUCUAUGAUCAAUUCGGUGUGUGUAUCCUCUUUCAAAGGGCGCAAGGGUGGGAACAAGUCGUCCAACAAAGCAUGUUACAGCGCAGACAUGACUUGCCCGUCGGAAAGCGAGAAAAUCGUGAUAAACUGCGGGGGGGUGAGGCAUGAGACCUACCGGAGCACCCUGAAAACACUCCCGGGGACCCGCCUGUCGUGGCUCACCGAGCCGGACGCCUUCAGCAACUUCGACUACGACCCCAAAUUGGACGAGUUCUUCUUCGACCGCCACCCGUCCGUCUUCUCAUUCAUCCUUAACUACUACCGCACCGGAAAGUUGCACUGUCCCAACGAUGUGUGCGGUCCACUGUUCGAGGAGGAGCUGGCCUUCUGGGGCAUUGAUGAGACGGACGUGGAGGCGUGCUGCUGGAUGAACUACCGGCAGCACAGGGACGCGGAGGAGGCGCUGGACAGCUUCGAGACCCCGGAGCCGGACGCGCCGGACGACGACCCUGCUCUGGGUGGCGCGGACGGGGACUUGAAAAGACUGUGUCUGCAGGAGGACGCACGAAGAGCUGGUUUUUGGAAGACCUGGCAGCCCAGAAUAUGGGCUCUGUUCGAGGACCCGUAUUCUUCCAAAUAUGCCCGGUAUGUGGCAUUUAUUUCCCUCUUCUUCAUCCUCAUCUCCAUUUCGACAUUCUGCAUGGAGACGCACGAGGCCUUCAACACCAUCCUAAACAAGACAGAGAACGUCACGCAUGGCAACACAACCCGUGAGGAAAUAGUGUACGAAGUGGUGACUGACAGCUGGUUGACAUACGUUGAAGGUGUAUGUGUCAUUUGGUUUACAAUUGAGGUCUUGCUGCGAGUCAUCUUCUGUCCAGACAAGUUGGAAUUCUUCAAAAGUGCCCUCAACAUCAUCGACUUUGUUGCCAUCCUGCCCUUCUACUUGGAGGUUGGCUUGAGCGGUCUCUCCUCCAAAGCUGCCAAGGAUGUCUUGGGGUUCCUCCGUGUUGUCCGAUUCGUCCGUAUCCUUCGAAUCUUUAAGCUCACUCGUCACUUUGUGGGUCUCCGUGUCCUCGGCCACACCCUUCGUGCCAGUACCAAUGAAUUCCUCCUCCUCAUCAUCUUCUUGGCCCUCGGAGUCCUCAUCUUUGCCACUAUGAUCUACUAUGCUGAGCGAAUUGGGGCAGACCCAGAAGACCCUACUGCCAGUGCCCACACCAACUUCAAGAACAUCCCCAUUGGAUUUUGGUGGGCCGUGGUGACAAUGACCACAUUGGGUUAUGGUGAUAUGUAUCCGGAGACAUGGUCAGGAAUGCUGGUUGGUGCGCUCUGUGCCUUGGCUGGUGUGCUAACCAUUGCUAUGCCCGUACCUGUCAUUGUCAACAACUUCGGCAUGUACUAUUCUCUGGCUAUGGCCAAGCAAAAGCUGCCCAAAAAGAAGAACAAACAUAUCCCUCGUGCACCUCAACCAGGUUCACCAAACUACUGCAAGCCGGACGCCCUAGCAAUGGCUACUGCAUCACCACAGAGGAUCUUGGGAAAUGUCUUAGGUGGAGUGAUGGGAUCUGGUGGUUUAGGGGGCGACUGUCCUCUUGCUCAAGAGGAAAUCAUAGAAAUCAAUAGAGAUUCUAAGCAGAACGGUGAUGCAGCCUCGGCUGCUUUGGCUAAUGAGGACUGCCCAACCAUUGAUCAGGUGCUGAGCCCGGACGAACGGAGUCCCAUUGGGCGGGGCCCCACUCGGGAACGUUACCAGCAGGACCGAGCUUGCUUCCUACUCAACACCAGGGAAUUCCGUGCCACAGAUGGGAAUGUGCGGAAAGAGGCAGCAGCCCUGGCUCCCAGCCCACACUCCCCUCUGACUGAGGAUUGGUAUAAGAUGGAGGGGUCUCUGUUACAGCAGGACCUCAAUGCAAACUCCACCUCCUCCUGGAUCAAACCAUAGCCCAGAGGUUGUGUCAUAUCACGCGUGUGCCGCCACUGCAGUGCAAGUGUAACUAAAGUCUGACUCUAGUGUUAAGUUUCUAGCAUUCGCCUUCUCUGUUAGGAGGAGUCAGUAACUGGUAAACAUAAUUGCGGCGGGAGCCACAUAAGCAACAGGCUUUUCACGGAUGGACAGUUGAAAGGAGAUCUUUGAGGUGACGAGAGAGACCAGAGGGUAAUCACGAUAAAAAACAAAACAUAUAUAUAAAUAUAUAUCACAUGGUCUGCUCCUCACAUUGUUACCAAAGCAGCCUCUUGGAUCGCCGACCACAAUUUUUGACAACAGUUCACCUGCCCCUGACCCAGUUCUCCUCCCUAUACCCCCUUACCCUUUCCUUCAAGCUGACUGAGCAUUGCACUGACACACUUUUGGAGAAAAAAGGACUCCUGAUGACACAUUCCAGACAACAUCUCUCUGACAGUGUUAGGAACGCCAUCCUGCUUAUAGACCAAAUCAGCACCGUCUGCAGUGCUGAAAAACUGAGCAAGUUUUCCAGUUAGCACUUGCUAUCACCUGGACUCACUGAACAAUGUAGCAUUUCUGCUAACACACUGUAGCAUCUGUUGGUUGGGAAAUACCUUGUCUAAAAACCAAUCUAUCCACAGUUCAUCGAGAGAGAAAAAUUAUGCAUUCAAGGGAUCUUCUAGAUGUCACUCUUGUAUUCCUUACCAGUGAAAAAGAAAAAAAGUCAUUUAGGGAGCACAUGAGAGACAAAGGAUUGGUCUUGUUCAAUGCACAAAUACCAGAAGAAUCAUAAAUGCAGUCUUUAAAAGCACACCCCGAUCGUCCCUUGUUAAAGUUUAGCACUUGUAUAGUCUUCCAUUAACUUCUAUUAGACUGAAGUACUGCCCUGCUCAUCAAACAGCACUAACUCUGAAGCUGAACAAUCAAAGCACAUGUAGCAUUACCUGAAACAAGUCAUAGAAAUCCAUUUUAUACUCGCCCAAAAAAGUCUUUAUCACUAAAUAGUGUGAAAAGACUUAUCCUUAUCUCUUAUGUACUGGUGUGGGCUUGCACGGAAAUCUAUGUUGAGUACCAAAGGUCUUUUAGCAUGCACUUGCUGAAUGACCCUCUGUAAUGUCAAGUAGAUUAGUAAAGGUAUUUGAUAUAAGGUGAGGCUGCUACUCUCUCUCAUACUAAUCAUCGUCUUUUGGUCCUUUUACUGCCAGUAGCUUCCGGUGCCUCACUGCACAUGAAGGAAAUGUCCCCAUACAUUGGUGACACAGACAUGAGAAGUAAAUAGACUGACUCAAAGAGUCAAACCCUGUUAGGUUAUUGACCUGCCCUGCCUAAAUUACAGCGUUGUUGUGAAGGGGACCAAUGUGAUUACAAUUUCCCCAACACUGCCGUUUAGGCACAAGACUCCUCUGAUGCAUACUGCCCUGCCUCUCUCUUGUCCCUCUUGCUGCCAACAAGUGCUUCACUGGCAACACAAUGUCACGGUGAAGUUCAGGAGGGAGGAGUCCUUUUCGACCAAAAGGAGAUAUUCAGUGAAACAGACCAAGUGCAGAGCAAGCGUGGACAUGUACAAAGAGAACAAAUCUAUAUUUUGAUAAACAAAUCUACGACGCUCCAUGGCUUUGGAGAGGGUUUCCUGUCCGGGAAGAGUCCAGUGAGAGAGAAGAUAGAAAAAAAAAAAGAGUCAAGGUCUCAUACAAGCUGGAAAAGAGAA